UACGUAGGGUGCAAGCGUUGUCCGGAAUUAUUGGGCGUAAAGGGCUCGUAGGCGGUCCAUCACGUCGGGAGUGAAAAGCUGGGGCUUAACCCCAGUCCUGCUUCCGAUACGGGUGGACUAGAGGUAGGCAGGGGAGAACGGAAUUCCUGGUGUAGCGGUGAAAUGCGCAGAUAUCAGGAGGAACACCGACGGCGAAGGCAGCACUCUGGGCCGGUACUGACGCUGAGGAGCGAAAGCAUGGGGAGCGAACAGG
rnacentral:rRNA from 1 species